CUAGAGGUUGGCAAAGCACCUGCCACCUGGCAGGCACUCAGUGUUUGCUGAGUGCCCAAGCACACCUGUUCUUUUAGGAGUGGCUCUAGGGACAGUGCCAGGUGGGGAGUUGCCUGGGGUGGCACACCUGUCAGUCAGCAAUGCAGGUGUCCAGAGCAAGUUCAGGGGGGAAAGGCACCUCCUGUGGACCAGAAGGGCAAAAGCUCACUUGAUCUUGAUGUUCGGUAUGGACUCAGACCGUGAAAGAGGGCCUCACAGUCCUUCUGACUUUUUGGACUUUAAGCAGGAGGUGUCAGAAAAAUCACCACCUCUUGGCCACAGGACACAAUUAUGAGAGGGCCUUUACCUAACACAUGCAAGCAGUGUAACCUGCUUCUUUGUGCCCUCAAAGAUUCCCCAACAAUAAAAAAAAAAAAGUUAGCACAGAGAUAAUUGUCCCGUAACUGCCAAGCAUUCAUAGCCAUGCCACUUCCCCAUCCUUCAGCGUCACCUCUCCCUAUCAUAGUGAAGCAGAACUCACCAAGUGUCGGGUUGUUCACCCGCUAACAGGGAACGUGAGCUGGGUGGGCCGUCAUGAGCCAGGCUAGUUUCACUCUCUGG
rnacentral:ncRNA from 1 species